GAGGUGGUACCUGCGGAGAGAGCCGGAGCCUGGGCAGCGGGCGGCCCGAGGGCAACUCCGAAGGCUGCCGGCGCCGGGUCCUGCGACCCCGCGGAUCACAGGCUGUGAUGCACAUGGCGUUCUUGCCUGUUCUGGGGGCCGCCUUUCGUUGUCGUGCUGGAGCACGGAUACCCUUUCCCUGUGGUAUACAAACCUUGCGUCUGGGGAGUGCGAAUGCGGAGUCCACCUGUCUCGUGGCCACCCAAGUUUCCGCUUCUGUCUGUAAAUUCCCUCAGCAAGUCACCCAAUACUGACAAA